rnacentral:tRNA from 1 species
UUAUAAAUAAAUAAUUAUUAAUUUUACAAUGAAAAUGUAAGGUUUUUAUAAACUAUAUAAACAAAUGUAGAAAU